rnacentral:rRNA from 1 species
GGGUUGUGAGGUUAAGCGACUAAGCGUACACGGUGGAUGCCCUGGCAGUCAGAGGCGAUGAAGGACGUGCUAAUCUGCGAUAAGCGUCGGUAAGGUGAUAUGAACCGUUAUAACCGGCGAUUUCCGAAUGGGGAAACCCAGUGUGAUUCGUCACACUAUCAUUAACUGAAUCCAUAGGUUAAUGAGGCGAACCGGGGGAACUGAAACAUCUAAGUACCCCGAGGAAAAGAAAUCAACCGAGAUUCCCCCAGUAGCGGCGAGCGAACGGGGAGCAGCCCAGAGCCUGAAUCAGUAUGUGUGUUAGUGGAAGCGUCUGGAAAGGCGCGCGAUACAGGGUGACAGCCCCGUACACAAAAAUGCACAUGCUGUGAGCUCGAUGAGUAGGGCGGGACACGUGGUAUCCUGUCUGAAUAUGGGGGGACCAUCCUCCAAGGCUAAAUACUCCUGACUGACCGAUAGUGAACCAGUACCGUGAGGGAAAGGCGAAAAGAACCCCGGCGAGGGGAGUGAAAAAGAACCUGAAACCGUGUACGUACAAGCAGUGGGAGCACGCUUAGGCGUGUGACUGCGUACCUUUUGUAUAAUGGGUCAGCGACUUAUAUUCUGUAGCAAGGUUAACCGAAUAGGGGAGCCGAAGGGAAACCGAGUCUUAACUGGGCGUUAAGUUGCAGGGUAUAGACCCGAAACCCGGUGAUCUAGCCAUGGGCAGGUUGAAGGUUGGGUAACACUAACUGGAGGACCGAACCGACUAAUGUUGAAAAAUUAGCGGAUGACUUGUGGCUGGGGGUGAAAGGCCAAUCAAACCGGGAGAUAGCUGGUUCUCCCCGAAAGCUAUUUAGGUAGCGCCUCGUGAAUUCAUCUCCGGGGGUAGAGCACU